rnacentral:rRNA from 1 species
GAGUUUGAUCAUGGCUCAGAUUGAACGCUGGCGGCAGGCUUAACACAUGCAAGUCGAACGAUGAUUACUAGCUUGCUAGUAUGAUUAGUGGCGAACGGGUGAGUAAUGCUUAGGAAUCUGCCUAUUAGUGGGGGACAACAUUCCGAAAGGAAUGCUAAUACCGCAUACGUCCUACGGGAGAAAGCAGGGGAUCUUUUGACCUUGCGCUAAUAGAUGAGCCUAAGUCGGAUUAGCUAGUUGGUGGGGUAAAGGCCUACCAAGGCGACGAUCUGUAGCUGGUCUGAGAGGAUGAUCAGCCACACUGGGACUGAGACACGGCCCAGACUCCUACGGGAGGCAGCAGUGGGGAAUAUUGGACAAUGGGCGAAAGCCUGAUCCAGCCAUGCCGCGUGUGUGAAGAAGGCCUUUUGGUUGUAAAGCACUUUAAGUGGGGAGGAAAAGCUAAUAAUUAAUACCU